GCUCCCAUGGCGUAGUGGUCACUGCGCUCGCUGUUCAUGCGGGAGACCCGGGUUCGAUUCCCGGCGGGGUCA
rnacentral:tRNA from 1 species